rnacentral:lncRNA from 1 species
GUCCGAUUCAUCUGAAAAUUUCAGGGAAGAUAGAACUUGACCUGAUAAAAACAAAUAUACCCUGUGUCAGAUUUGCUCUUAAUGCUUUGGUUUUUAAGUCAUAAACCAAAAACUGCAUUUUACCCCUAUGUUCUAUUUUUAGCCAUGGCGGCCAUCUUGGUUGGAAGGCCAAGUCACCGGACACAAUUUUUAAACUAGAUACCCCAAAGAUGAUUGUGGCCAAGUUUGGAUUAAUUUGGUCCAGUAGUUUCAGAGGAGAAGACUUUUGUAAAAGAUUACUAAGAUUUACGAAACAUGGAUUAAAAAUUGACGAUAAAGGGCAAUAACUCCUAAAGGGGUCAACUGACCUUUUCGGUCAUGUUGACUUAUUUGUAAAUCUUACUUUGCUGAAC